rnacentral:rRNA from 1 species
CAGUAGCCGCGGGAAUACGUAGGGUGCAAGCGUUAAUCGGAAUUACUGGGCGUAAAGCGUGCGCAGGCGGUUUUGUAAGACAGAGGUGAAAUCCCCGGGCUCAACCUGGGAACUGCCUUUGUGACUGCAAGGCUAGAGUACGGCAGAGGGGGAUGGAAUUCCGCGUGUAGCAGUGAAAUGCGUAGAUAUGCGGAGGAACACCGAUGGCGAAGGCAGCCCCCUGGGCCAAUACUGACGCUCAUGCACGAAAGCGUGGGGAGCAAACAGGAUUAGAUACCCGAGUAGUCCCUGUCUCUUAUAC